GGUGUGACUGCGUACCUUUUGUAUAAUGGGUCAGCGACUUAUAUUCUGUAGCAAGGUUAACCGUAUAGGGGAGCCGCAGGGAAACCGAGUCUUAACUGGGCGUUAAGUUGCAGGGUAUAGACCCGAAACCCGGUGAUCUAGCCAUGGGCAGGUUGAAGGUUGGGUAACACUAACUGGAGGACCGAACCGACUAAUGUUGAAAAAUUAGCGGAUGACUUGUGGCUGGGGGUGAAAGGCCAAUCAAACCGGGAGAUAGCUGGUUCUCCCCGAAAGCUAUUUAGGUAGCGCCUCGUGAACUCAUCUUCGGGGGUAGAGCACUGUUUCGGCUAGGGGGUCAUCCCGACUUACCAACCCGAUGCAAACUACGAAUACCGAAGAAUGUUAUCACGGGAGACACACGGCGGGUGCUAACGUCCGUCGUGAAGAGGGAAACAACCCAGACCGCCAGCUAAGGUCCCAAAGUCAUGGUUAAGUGGGAAACGAUGUGGGAAGGCACAGACAGCCAGGAUGUUGGCUUAGAAGCAGCCAUCAUUUAAAGAAAGCGUAAUAGCUCACUGGUCGAGUCGGCCUGCGCGGAAGAUGUAACGGGGCUAAACCAUGCACCGAAGCUGCGGCAGCGACACUAUGUGUUGUUGGGUAGGGGAGCGUUCUGUAAGCCUGCGAAGGUGACCUGUGAGGGUUGCUGGAGGUAUCAGAAGUGCGAAUGCUGACAUAAGUAACGAU
rnacentral:rRNA from 1 species